UAGGGAAUAUUGGGCAAUGCCCGCAAGGGUGACCCAGCCAUGCCGCGUGCAGGAAGAAGGCCUUCUGGGUUGUAAACUGCUUUUGGAAGGGAACAAAACGGGCAUGCGUGCCAACUUGAGUGUACCUUCAGAAUAAGCACCGGCUAACUCCGUGCCAGCAGCCGCGGUAAU
rnacentral:rRNA from 1 species